rnacentral:ncRNA from 2 species
AGAGGAAGCCGGUGAGAAUCCGGCGCGGUCCCGCCACUGUCACCGGGGAGCGCUCUCCCAUCGCCCUACGAGUCACGGCCGCCCGCGCGGAGGCUGGAAGACCGGGAGAACCGCGGAUCCGGGAGCCAGGAGACUC